GCUGGGUUUAGAACGUCGUGAGACAGUUCGGUCCCUAUCUGCUGUGGGCGUAGGACAUUUGAAGGGAGCUGCUCCUAGUACGAGAGGACCGGAGUGGACGAAUCCCUGGUGAUCCAGUUGUCUCGCCAGAGGCAUUGCUGGGUAGCUACAUUCGGAAAGGAUAACCGCUGAAAGCAUCUAAGCGGGAAGCCCCCCCUAAGACGAGAUGUCCCUUCCGCUUUCGGGCGGACUUAAGACCCCUCGUAGACUACGAGGUUGAUAGGCCGGGUGUGUAAGUGCGGCGACGCAUUCAGCUUACCGGUACUAAUCGGUCGUGAGGCUUGACCAU
rnacentral:rRNA from 1 species